UAGGGAAUCUUCGGCAAUGGGGGGAACCCUGACCGAGCAACGCCGCGUGAGUGAAGAAGGUUUUCGGAUCGUAAAGCUCUGUUGUUAAGGAAGAACGAGUGUGAGAAUGGAAAGUUCAUGCUGUGACGGUACUUAACCAGCAAGGGACGGCUAACUACGUGCCAGCAGCCGCGGUAAUACGUAGGUCCCGACCGUUGUCCGGAUUUAUUGGGCGUAAAGCGAGCGCAGGCGGUUAGAUAAGUCUGAAGUGAAAGGCGGUGGCUCAACCAUUGUAGGCUUUGGAAGCUGUUUAACGUGAAUGCAGAGGGGGAGGGUGGAAUUCCAUGUGUAGCGGUGAAAUGCGUGAAUAUAUGGAGGAACACCGGUGGAGAAAGCGGCUCUCUGGUCUGUUGCUGACGCAGAGGCUCGAAAGCGUGGGGAGCGAACAGG
rnacentral:rRNA from 1 species